AUUGAACGCUGGCGGCAGGCUUAACACAUGCAAGUCGAGCGGAGAUGAGGUGCUUGCACCUUAUCUUAGCGGCGGACGGGUGAGUAAUGCUUAGGAAUCUGCCUAUUAGUGGGGGACAACAUUCCGAAAGGAAUGCUAAUACCGCAUACGUCCUACAGGAGAAAGCAGGGGAUCUUCGGACCUUGCGCUCAUAGAUGAGCCUAGGUCGGAUUAGCUAGUUGGUGGGGUAAAGGCCUACCAAGGCGACGAUCUGUAGCGGGUCUGAGAGGAUGAUCCGCCACACUGGGACUGAGACACGGCCCAGACUCCUACGGGAGGCAGCAGUGGGGAAUAUUGGACAAUGGGGGGAACCCUGAUCCAGCCAUGCCGCGUGUGUGAAGAAGGCCUUAUGGUUGUAAAGCACUUUAAGCGAGGAGGAGGCUACUGAGACUAAUACUCUUGGAUAGUGGACGUUACUCGCAGAAUAAGCACCGGCUAACUCUGUGCCAGCCGCCGCUGUAAGAC
rnacentral:rRNA from 1 species